AGCCUUUGUGUUGCCCGUUCACUUUUGGAAACUAGUGAAUGUGGUGUCAAAAAAGGCGUAAAUAAAUGCUUUGCAGUCUUUUCCUCCCCUUAAAUUUGGUAUCUUUGGUGUAGGACCUGCAUAAGCAACAUUU
ensembl:snoRNA